rnacentral:rRNA from 1 species
GAUGAACGCUGGCGGCGUGCCUAAUACAUGCAAGUCGAGCGAACAGAUAAGGAGCUUGCUCCUUUGACGUUAGCGGCGGACGGGUGAGUAACACGUGGGUAACCUACCUAUAAGACUGGAAUAACUCCGGGAAACCGGGGCUAAUGCCGGAUAACAUUUAGAACCGCAUGGUUCUAAAGUGAAAGAUGGUUUUGCUAUCACUUAUAGAUGGACCUGCGCCGUAUUAGCUAGUUGGUAAGGUAACGGCUUACCAAGGCAACGAUACGUAGCCGACCUGAGAGGGUGAUCGGCCACACUGGAACUGAGACACGGUCCAGACUCCUACGGGAGGCAGCAGUAGGGAAUCUUCCGCAAUGGGCGAAAGCCUGACGGAGCAACGCCGCGUGAGUGAUGAAGGUCUUCGGAUCGUAAAACUCUGUUAUUAGGGAAGAACAAAUGUGUAAGUAACUGUGCACGUCUUGACGGUACCUAAUCAGAAAGCCACGGCUAACUACG